AAAAGAAUGUGUACAAAGCAAUAUAAGAAUAAAAUGUGCUUUCUGGAAGUAAGAAUUGAACAAGCAAAGAUGGAGUUAGCUAAGGCAUUUCCACCUUUCCCUGCUUCAUCCAUACCUCCAAAAACAGAACCCUUCAAAGAACGUCCUGAGAAGAACAACUGGCCACUGAUUUUGAGUUGAACACUGGCAGGCAACACCCCAACAACCACACAGACCCCAUAGCUCUCAUUGCAGGAGGCGAGGGCAGCUGCCUGUUAGAAAGUGAUGCAAUACAGUAUAGGGGUUAAAAGAUGUAUGUGAGGAUUGAGCCUACAUCUUAAUUUCAGCUUAACUCCUAAAUGGUCUAUGACUUUCUUUUCUGAUUCUCCCUAUUCUCAUUUGAAGUAACAUUUAUCUUGUAAGGAUGCUAUGAAACACAUAUAAGACGUUGUAUGUUGCUUAGUAUAGUACCUGGCACUUUAGGACUCAAUAAAUGGAAAUAACAAAAAUGAAAAUAGUAAAAACAUCCACAGUAGUGAUAAUAAUAAAAAUAAUUUUUAUAAAAAUUAUUACUGAUGCAGGUGGCUGGUAAGAAUUGACAUUUUUCUUUUAGACAUCUAAGAAGACAGAUAUUUAUAUAAUAAGAUGAUAGCAAAGUGAGAAACAGAUACCGUUACAUUCGUUAUGUUCAAA
rnacentral:lncRNA from 1 species